AAACCAUGAUGGAGGCAUCUUCUAAGGAGAUAUUUGAAUCUUUCAUAAGCCUCAAAUAAUGUCACAGACACCACUUGUUUAAAUGCCAAAAUCUCUUACCUCAGUUU